rnacentral:tRNA from 1 species
GCCCCAGUAGCUCAGUGGAUAGAGCAGCAGCCUUCUAAGCUGUUUGUCGGAGGUUCGAGUCCUCUCUGGGGCGCCA